rnacentral:rRNA from 1 species
AACGAACGCUGGCGGCAGGCCUAACACAUGCAAGUCGAACGAUAAGCCACCUUCGGGUGGUGGACAGUGGCAGACGGGUGAGUAACGCGUGGGAACGUGCCUUUCGGUUCGGAAUAACCCAGGGAAACUUGGGCUAAUACCGGAUACGCCCUUCGGGGAAGGAUUCAUUGCCGAAAGAUCGGCCCGCGUCGGAUUAGCUAGUUGGUGGGGUAAGUGGCUCACCAAGGCGACGAUCCGUAGCUGGUCUGAGAGGAUGACCAGCCACACUGGGACUGAGACACGGCCCAGACUCCUACGGGA